rnacentral:tRNA from 1 species
AUCUAAAUAGUUUAAGAGAAAAUGUUGGUUUGUGGUGCCGAUGAUAUAUUAUUGAUAUUUUAGAUU